GCUCAAUGCCUGUUUACCAGGUUGCCAUGUGGGCACAUAUGCAUAAAAAUGGGUGCUUGGGAAACAGUAGAGAAAGUGAUACUUAGGAUUGCACAACAUUAAGUAACCAUGAACAUAAGGUGGCACAAAGUCUGGGGCUUUGAUGUGUUGGUUCAGGCCCACCAUAAGCGAUAGAUGGCCACACAAACACUGGAGUGUUACUUAAUUCUUUGUAAAGGAGAUACCAUCACAUCUCGUUGACCAUCAGAAUGCAUCUAUAGCAAGAUACUAUAACACGAGUGUCUCAUACCAUCCCUUCCUGCAUUUUUGGAAAUCAGAUCUUCAAUUCUAGGAUGAAAAACAUGUUAAAACCUUGAAAUAUUGAAUAAGCACAAAACCGUUACGGUCUACAGUGCAAAAACACGGAUGUUAAUGAGAUACAAUAGAUCAAGAAAGAAAGACUUUGUAGAAGCUGUGCUCCACCAUCAAAGAAUGCGUAUUGUCAUCAUUAAAAUGUCAUAUACUUCAAACCUAACAGUAAAGCUUCUUACCAUGAAUAC
ensembl:lncRNA